rnacentral:piRNA from 1 species
UUUAGAACGUAAGAUGAUGGCAUCUCC